AUGACAGUACAACCUAUCAAUACCCUCAACUGGAACGUGAGAGGGCUUAAUUGCCCGGACCGUAGAGCAACUGUCAAGGCUACCAUCACUAGCACCUCUUGCCACUUGGUCUGUCUCCAGGAGACUAAAUUGAGCAACGUUGACAGUUUCAUUGCUGCUUCUCUUGGCGGAAAUAGGCUUCAGGGUUUCGCGCAACGCCCGGCCUCCGGAACCAGAGGUGGAAUUCUUCUGCUAUGGGAUGACAACCUUCUUGAGAUUACCGACAUCGCCACCUCAACCUUUUGCCUCUUUGCCAUGGUGCGGAUUCGUGCUUCUGACUCCUCCUUCAAAAUCACGUCUGUCUAUGGCCCCACUGACAACGCCUCCAAAGAUGCCUUCUUUGCGGAGCUGCUUAGCCAGAAGCCACCCUUGGGCGUGGCUUGGCUCGCCACUGGCGACUUCAACCAAAUUUACCGUGCCAGGGACAAAAACAAGCGCAAUGUUAACCGCAGCAGAAUCAACCGCUUUCGUGCCGCUUUGCAAUCUUGCGAGCUCAAGGAGAUCCAUCUCCAGAAUAGGCGCUUCACCUGGAGCAAUGAGAGGACAAAUCCCACCCUAUGCAAGCUUGACUCAUUCUUCUGCAAUGCUGAGUGGGACACCACC
rnacentral:rRNA from 1 species